rnacentral:misc_RNA from 1 species
CCCUAGCCUCGAUAGGAACGGUUACCCCGCAGUAAGCGUUAGAGAAGUAGAGGGCUUGGGAGUUGGACCGAAUUGGCGCGAUGAGUAUGAGUGGAUAACGGGAAAUAGC